UACGGGGGGGGCAAGCGUUGUUCGGAAUUACUGGGCGUAAAGGGCUCGUAGGUGGCCAACUAAGUCAGACGUGAAAUCCCUCGGCUUAACCGGGGAACUGCGUCGGAUACUGGAUGGCUUGAAUUCGGGAGAGGGAUGCAGAAUUCCAGGUGUAGCGGUGAAAUGCGUAGAUAUCUGGAGGAAUACCGGUGGCGAAGGCGGCAUCCUGGACCGACAUUGACGCUGAUGAGCGAAAGCUAGGGGAGCAAACGGG
rnacentral:rRNA from 1 species